AGGGUCAGCGAUGCCCAGGCUGAAAGCCAGGAACCAAUGCAGAAUUCUCCAUCAGGAUGGGCCUUGUGUCGAGGGCAAGCAUUUGUAUCCCGUUUAUCAAGACAUCCAUUACGAAGUCCCUCGCAUUUAAAAAAAAAGAAAAAGAAAAGAAAAGAAAAGAAAGUAAAAGAAACAAAUGAUUGAAAUAAAAUUUGAAGAAAAUGUUUAUAAACGAAGAAGGAGAGAGCUGCCUGGAGUCUGUAGUUUUCGAUGUCAGAUUCCUGCCCGAAUGUAUCCUGCACCCACAGAGGCACAUAAUCUUAUAAAGAAAAGUUCCCUAAAUGUCACGGGCAGCCCCGAGAUGUCUCAAUCUCGCCGGAUGCAGACGGGAAGCCGGCCUUUUCCCAGGCGAACCGGCUCUUGCAAAUAAGGCAUCAGCCGCUCUUCGCGGGAUGGACGCCGCCACGGCUUGUGGG